GUUAGGAAAGGUUGGAUGGUGCUGCCACUCCGGAUUGAAUGUGACGUUGGAGCCUCCCCAUCCGAAUUUGUUGAUCCAUAAGGGACCUGCGGGGACCGCAGUGGAGUACGCAGAUAGGGCGACAGGAGGCUGGUCGACCACUGGUGAAAUGGUCAGUAACAACAAGCAGCACUUUAUUCAGGGCUAAAUAUAUGGGUGAAGGUGCAGCUCUUUACUAGGCCUGAUCAAUGAACAUAGACCUAUAGAUAAUACAUCCCUAAUACAUAAAUAACAUGAAUUGUUUGUUGUCUAGGCAGGUGAAAUAAAGGUUUCCAAGAAGGGAAAAACUGUUGCCGAUCUCGUGAAGGCAGCGGGCCCGUUUUACGCACUCCUUAAGGGUGAACAUUGUCAUUGUGCCGUUGAAGAUAUGCUUGCCAUCCUGAAGCGAACCAUGAAGCGGAAUGUGAAUGUGUUCAAACGUUCUCAUGAGUAGGUGAAAAUACUCAUGAUUUCACACCACCAGAGUCCAUCGAGUAUCACAUAA